UUCCAGACUCCUACGGGAGGCAGCAGUGGGGAAUAUUGCACAAUGGGGGAAACCCUGAUGCAGCGACGCCGCGUGAGUGAAGAAGUAUUUCGGUAUGUAAAGCUCUAUCAGCAGGGAAGAAGAUGACAGUACCUGAGUAAGAAGCCCCGGCUAACUACGUGCCAGCAGCCGCGGUAAUACGUAGGGGGCGAGCGUUAUCCGGAUUCACUGGGUGUAAAGGGAGCGUAGACGGCCAUGCAAGCCAGGGGUGAAAGCCCGGGGCCCAACCCCGGGACUGCCCUUGGAACUGCAUGGCUGGAGUGCAGGAGGGGCAGGCGGAAUUCCUGGUGUAGCGGUGAAAUGCAUAGAUAUCACGCAGAACUCCGAUUGCGAAGGCAGCAUACCGGCGCCCAACUGACGCUGAAGCACGAAAGCGUGGGUAUCGAACAGGAUUAGAUACCCCGGUA
rnacentral:rRNA from 1 species